rnacentral:sRNA from 1 species
AACUCUUUUAAAUUAGUCCAGAGAGGCUGAUAAGGAGUUCCCAAUAGUGAUGGCGCUUUUGUGCCGUCUGCUAUGCCGAACUCUUAUGACCUCUCAUAAGAGUUAUUUUUUG